rnacentral:rRNA from 1 species
ACACGACUACAUUAGAUACCCGUGUAGUCCUAGCCGUAAACGAUACUCGCUAGGUGUCGGCCACGGUGCGACCGUUGUCGGUGCCGUAGGGAAGCCGUGAAGCGAGCCACCUGGGAAGUACGGCCGCAAGGCUGAAACUUAAAGGAAUUGGCGGGGGAGCACAACAACGGGUGGAGCUUGCGGUUUAAUUGGAUUCAACGCCGGACAACUCACCAGGAGCGACGGUUACAUGAAGGCCAGGCUGAUGACCUUGCCUGAUUUUCCG